rnacentral:rRNA from 1 species
AUGGAGGUGGGUGAGAUGGACGACGUGCAGGCGGUGGGAGAGCAGGUCAUCAGCAGCAGGGGCGGCUCCGUGCUCGGGAAGAAGACCAUCCUCAAGAGUGACCACUUCCCCGGCUGCCAGAACAAGCGCCUCACCCCGCACAUCGACGGCGCGCCCANNNNNNNNNNUGCAGGAUCACUGCGUGUUCACGGUGUUGCAAUGCCGACAAUGGAAGGAAUUGUGAAUGUGCUAAAUCACAUUGGGGCACAAAAGAAGGGAAAGCAAACCCGAGUUCUAUGGCAUAGUCUUCGGGAGGAACCAGUUAUCUAUAUCAAUGGUCGCCCUUUUGUUCUACGAGAUGCCGAAAGACCCUUCUCAAACCUUGAAUAUACGGGAAUCAACCGGGAGAGAGUCGAGCAGAUGGAGUUUCGUUUGAAAGAAGAUAUUCUUCAGGAAGCUUCAAGAUAUGGGAAUAAGAUCCUAGUUACUGAUGAGCUGCCGAAUGGUCAGAUGGUGGACCAGUGGGAGUCAGUGAUGUCUGAUACAGUUAAGACUCCACUUGAGGUCUAUGAGGAGUUACAACAUCAAGGAUACCUUGUUGAUUACGAGCGUGUUCCUAUAACUGAUGAAAAAGCUCCGAAGGAAGGGGAUUUUGAUAACCUGGUACAUCGAAUCUCUCAAGUUGAUAUGGAGACUGAAAUUGUAUUUAAUUGUCAAAUGGGGAGGGGACGGACUACUACCGGCAUGGUCAUAUCUACGUUGGUUUACCUAAAUCGGAUAGGAGCUUCAGGUAUCCCAAGGACAAGUUCAAUUGGGAAGGUUUUCUAUGCUGGAAAUGAUGUAGAUGACUACAGUCCUAGCUCAGAAGAAGCAAUUCUCAGAGGAGAAUAUGCUGUCAUUAGGAGCUUAGUCCGAGUUCUGGAGGGUGGUGUUGAAGGCAAAAGACAGGUGGACAAAGUUAUUGACAAAUGUGACUCUAUGCAGAACCUGAGAGAAGCUAUUGCAACCUACCGCAAUAGCACUCUUCGGCAACCUGAUGAGAUGAAACGGGAGGCAUCACUUUCCUUCUUUGUGGAGUACUUGGAACGUUAUUACUUCCUCAUAUGUUUUGCUGUCUAUGUACAUUCGGUGAGCUCUGCUCACCAAGCAACAUCUUCAGGAGUUAAUUUUUCUGAUUGGAUGAGAGCAAGACCUGAACUGUACAGCAUUCUUCGAAGGCUGCUGAGGAGAGAUCCAAUGGGCGCUCUGGGUUAUUCAAGCUCAAAACCCACUCUUCCAAAAAUUAUUGAAUCUGCUGAUGGGCGCCCACAUGAGAUGGAUGUUGUUGCUGCCAUGAGGAAUGGAGAAGUUCUUGGACGUCAAACUGUUUUAAAAAGUGAUCACUGUCCAGGGUGUCACAAUCUUAAUUUGCCUGAAAGAGUUGAGGGUGCACCUAAUUUCCGGGAAAUUCCGGGGUUUUCAGUCUAUGGUGUUGCAAAUCCUACUGUUGAUGGCAUUCGGGCUGUUAUUCAGCGAGUUAGUACAAGCAAGGGAAAUCGGCCGAUACUCUGGCAUAAUAUGAGAGAAGAGCCCGUCAUUUAUAUACAUGGAAAGCCUUUUGUGCUACGAGAAGUAGAAAGACCGUACAAGAAUAUGCUGGAGUACACGGGGAUCGGUCGUGAUAGAGUUGAGCGUAUGGAAGCUCGGUUGAAGGAGGAUAUUUUACGAGAAGCAGAACGGUAUGAUGGGGCAAUAAUGGUUAUUCAUGAAACCGACAAUGGUGAGAUCUUUGAUGCAUGGGAAAAUGUCAAUAAUGAAGCUGUUCUGACUCCACUGGAGGUAUACAAAUGUUUGGACUCUGAAGGCCUUCCAAUCAAAUAUGCACGAGUGCCCAUUACCGAUGGUAAGGCCCCCAAAAGUUCAGAUUUUGAUACGGUAGCCUUUAAUGUCGCAGCUGCUUGCAAGGAUGCUGCUCUUGUAUUCAACUGCCAGAUGGGCAGGGGCAGAACAACUACUGGCACUGUGAUUGCUUGCCUGCUCAGACUUCGAAUCAAUCACGGCAGACCUAUUGGAAUGCCAGCCAUCCAAAAUAAUCAUGAAGAUACAAUUGAUGCCGAUUACUCAAGCGGAGAAGAAACAAUGGACCACAAUGGUCACUUGAAUUCAGAAUCAUGGAAACCUCACACUUUGACAGAGCUACACCCUAGAUUUGACAUUAAUGACAUCCUUCUGUUGCGAAAGAUUACAAGGCUAUUUGACAAUGGGAUUGAGUGUAGACAGAUUUUAGAUACUGUUAUUGACAAGUGUUCAGCUUUGCAGAACAUCCGCCAAGCUGUUUUGCAAUACACAAAGGUGAUUAGUCAACAAAAUAUGGAGCCAAGAGUUAGGAGAGUCGCAUUAAAUCGUGGUGCUGAAUAUUUGGAGAGGUACCUGAAAUUAAUUGCAUUCUCGGCAUACCUCGGGAGUGAAGCAUUUGAUGGUUUCUGCGGGCAAGGAGAAACAAAGAUCUCAUUUAAAAAUUGGCUGCAACAGCGUCCGGAGAUCCAAACCAUGAAAUGGAGCAUAAGACUGCGACCUGGGCGUUUUUUCACUGUACCUGAUGAGCAUAAAGCAACAUGUCAACCUCUGCAAAGUGAUGUAACGAUGGAAGCCAUCGUGAAAGCCCGUAAUGGUUCUGUUCUGGGAAAGGGAUCCAUACUCAAAAUGUAUUUUUUUCCUGGGCAGAGAAGGUCAAGCAGCAUGAACUUCCGUGGUACACCACAUGUUAUCAAGGUGGAUGGAUACCCUGUGUAUAGCAUGGCAACACCAACUGUUGAUGGAGCUAGAGAAGUUCUGUCGUAUUUGGGCUGUAAGGAUACAACUGGAAGAGACAUUAUUCAGAAGGUGGUCAUCACGGAUCUUAGGGAGGAAGUGGUAGUUUACAUCAAGGGAACACCGUUUGUUUUGAGAGAAUUAGAUCAACCUGUUGAUACACUGAAGCAUGUGGGCAUAAGUGGCCCAAUGGUAGAGAACAUAGAGGCAAGGCUGAAGGAGGAUAUACUUUCUGAAGUUAAACAGCUAGAAGGUCGGCUGCUUCUGCAUCAAGAAGAAUUUAACACAGCCACAAAUCAAUGCAGUGUAUUAGGUUAUUGGGAGCACAUAGAUCUGGAGGACGUAAUGACACCGGCUGAAGUGUACAGCACAUUGAGGGAUCAGGGGUAUUGUAUUGACUACAAAAGGAUACCUCUGACCAGGGAAAGAGAAGCAUUAGCUGCUGAUGUUGAUUCAAUACAGUCAUCAAUCAAUGAAUCUUCUAGGUACUAUCUCUUUAUUUCACACACGGGAUAUGGUGGUGUUGCUUAUGCAAUGGCCAUUACAUGCCUGAGACUUGGUGCAGAUGCAAAGUUUGUCAUGGAACAAACAGCAGAAACACACUUCGUAUCAAGUUCUCUUACAAAAAGUGUAUCUGUGAAAACCUUCACUGACAUAGCCCUCAGGCAGGGGGACUACCGUGACAUACUAAACCUUACUAGAGCACUGAUACAUGGUCCUAAAAGCAAAGAAGAGGUUGACAAAGUUAUUGACAGAUGUGUUGGUGCUGGGGAUUUGCGGGAGGAUAUUUUGCAAUACAGGAAGGCAUUGCGAGAUUGUUCACAUGAUGAUGAUGAUGAUGAGGCACGGUCAUAUCUCAUGGAUAUGGGGACUAAAGCUUUGAGUACUAAAGCACUUACAGCAGUCAUCAAGCAGAGGACAAGGAAGAUCAGUGCCAAGAAGAAAGCAGAGGAAAUGAGCGGGUGA